rnacentral:lncRNA from 1 species
CUCAGCUAACUAGCUUUUAAUUCAGGAACAGGUCAGGGAGAGAGAGAAAUCCCAGGGAAAGAUCUGGAUGGCUCUGGUCAGCAUGAAUCCAAACCCCAAACCCCCUUGCAAAUUCUGGUAGCUGUUCCUGUUGAGUCCUGGUGGAGGUGUUUUGGGGUCCCAGGAGGAAUAACAGGUCCCAAACCAAUAGGCUCUUUCUCAGCUUUCAGAAAACCCACCUUCCUCCUUCACCUCCCAGGCUGGAAGACCAUUGACAGUUGCCCUCAGAGUUCUAAUCCCAUUGGAACUCUCAGACUUCUCUCUCUCUGCCCUGCCUCUGCUGAUCUUCAGCUGAUCUCUCCUUCAGCUUGGCUUCUCACUGUGACCCCCGGAUGUCUCUUUCUUAAUGUGAAGUUAAUAUGUAUGGCACUUCAUCUUAUGUGACCUGUUCCUUGAAGUUCUUUGUUCUACAAAGUUCAUGGAUUAAAGAUCUUUUGUCUGUUAUCUUAUUGUUCAUUUCAAGUCUUUGAUGGUCUUGGAAGGAUUCUUUGUGGUCUUGGUCUUUAGUUGAACUUUUCGUCUGUGCCUUCUUUUACGGGAACACGUAUGUGGUGUCUCAGGCAAUGUCUUGCACCAACAACAUGCCCAAACACAGUUAUAUUUAUUGACAAGAACCAAAGCCAUCGAUCAAGACAGAAUUUCCCUCUUCAGGGGACUAGGAUUGGCCUUAAAAGCAUGUGUAUAAACAGGAACCUAAUUCAGAGAUGUACCAAUCACUUUUCCCUCAUAGCAAUCCUAGUUGCAUUAUCUUUAGCUAUGGAAUAUCGAAGAGCUUCACCUUCCCAGGAGAUAGCCUAGAAGAAGGUGGUCUGGAUACAUCAUUCUGAAAUGCCUCAGCUCCAGGAGCAGUGAAAACAGUUCAUUCUGCUGUAUCUAUUUUCGGCAAAGUAUGCAAUCGGGAUACUAAUGAGAAACUCAAAAUGAAUUUCUCUUCCUGAAGCC